rnacentral:rRNA from 1 species
AUUGAACGCUGGCGGCAUUCCUUACACAUGCAAGUCGAACGGUAACUGUCCUUCGGGUGCCGACGAGUGGCGAACGGGUGAGUAAUACAUCGGAACUUGCCCGAUCGUGGGGGAUAACGAGGCGAAAGCUUUUCUCAUACCGCAUACGAUCUACGGAUGAAAGCAGGUGACCGCAAGGCCUUGCGCGGACGGAGCUGCCGAUGGCAGUUUAGGUAGUUGGUGGGAUAAAAGCUUACCAAGCCGACGAUCUGUAGCUGUUCUGAGCGGAGGAUCUGCCACAAUGGGAUUCAGAAACGGCCGAGAAUCCAACGGUAGGGAGCAGUGGGGAAUGUUGGCAAAGGGGAGGAAGCUUGAACCAGCCAUGCCGCGGGCAGGAUGAGGGCCUUCGGGUUGUAAACUGCUUUUGAAAGAAACGAAAAGCAUUCUUUUAAUAAAGGAGGGAAAGGAGGUAACCGUAAGAAUAAGCACCGGAAAACUACGAG